UGCCAGCAGCCGCGGUAAUACGAAGGGUGCUAGCGUUGUUCGGAAUUACUGGGCGUAAAGAGCAUGUAGGCGGUUUUGUAAGUCGGAUGUGAAAUCCCUGGGCUUAACCUGGGAACUGCAUUCGAUACUGCAUAACUAGAGUAUGGUAGAGGGAAGUGGAAUUUCCGGUGUAGCGGUGAAAUGCGUAGAUAUCGGAAGGAACACCAGUGGCGAAGGCGACUUCCUGGGCCAAUACUGACGCUGAGAUGCGAAAGCGUGGGGAGCGAACAGGAUUAGAUA
rnacentral:rRNA from 1 species